GACGAACGCUGGCGGCGUGCCUAAUACAUGCAAGUCGAACGCAGGGGGGACGGGGGAGUAACACGUGGGUAACCUCCCAUCAGAGGGGAUAACACGUGGAAACAGGGGCUAAACCGAUACUGAUGGAUCAACCUGCGGUGCAUUAGCUAGUUGGGGAGGGAACGGCGCACCAAGGCGACGAUGCGGAGCCGAGCUGAGAGCGUGAUCGGCCACACUGGGACAGAGACACUGCCCAGACUCCUACGUGAGGCAGCAGUAGGGAAUUUUCGGCAAUGGACGAAAGUCUGACCGAGCAACGCCGCGUGAGUGAAGAAGGUUUUCGGAUCGUAAAGUUCUUUUGUUAGAGAAGCGGUAUCUAACCAGAAAGCCACGGCUAACUACGUGCCAGCAGCCGCGGUAAUUC
rnacentral:rRNA from 1 species